rnacentral:lncRNA from 10 species
CAGGAGAAUCGCUUGAAGCCGGGAGGCGGAGGUUGCAGUGAGCCAAGAUCACACCACUGCACUCUAGCCUGGGCGACAGAGCAAGACUCCAUCUCAAAAGACAAACAAACAAACAAAAAAAGACUACACAUUGGGUAGAGUGUACCCUGCUUGGGUGACGGGUAUACCAAAGUCUCAGAAAUCACCACUAAAUAACUUAUCCAUUUAACCACACACCACCUGUUCCCCAAAAACCUAUUGAAAUUAAAAAAAGAGAAACGGAUGGAAGUGUAAAGGGGUUGUCUUAUUUAGAG